GACUCGGCGGUGGAGCCGGCGGAGGCGGAGGCGCCGGAGCCGGCGGCGGUUUCGGAGGAGGCAAGGGCGGCGGCUUCGGCGGUGGCGUGGGCGGAGGAGGCGGCAAGGGCGGAGGCUUUGGUGGCGGAGUCGGCGGCGGAGGCGGUGCAGGUGGUGGCGCCGGCGGUGGCUUCGGCGGAGGCGCGGGAGGCGGAGCUGGAGGAGGCGCAGGUUUCGGCGGUGGAGCGGGUGGCGGAGCUGGCGCCGGUGGCGGCGGCGGAUUCGGCGGAGGAGGGGGCGCAGGCGGCGGCGGCGGCAUCGGCGACGGGCAGUGAUGCUCGCUCGCGCGAGGAACGGGCGGGCGCACGUACGUCGCGUCGCCUCCGUCCAUGCAGGAAGACGCGCGCGCCAUGAGGAGCCGAGCAACCAAUCUUGGUAGUCUACGUACGUACUCUAUAUGCGAAUAAUUUGUUGGGUGGUGAGCGAUGAUGAGUACUCUACAUGACAUUCCUUUUCCUUGUGUAUCCAUGAUAGUGUUACUACGACGAAUGUGCUAUUAUUUUGGAAGCCAAUAUAUGUUUCCACUUGUACCAAAGAUAUAUAAACAGAUUAAGAUUAUAUUACGCAGAGAGUGGGAGUGAUGCCUAUCUAUAUAUACCAUGUGUAGCAACAGUGCAAGCUUUGUCAAAAAAAAACACGUUUUGCCGUAGUAGUGUGGCGAUCGAUGCACAGCACAGCAGCAGGAGCUUUGUAGUGUGCGGACUGUGAAAGCAUCUUUGUAGAGUACAAGUCAGAGAGAGACAAUGCAAAGUGAUCGGCUCGGAUCCCGUUAUGGGAGCCAAAAAUGCUUCCAGUUUAAACCAAGCGCAACGGCAACGCUACUUUUGUGCCGCUCCUCGUCUGCCUCCUCUUUUCGAGCUAGCAUUAUUCCUCCUUUUUUUGAGGGAAAAUCACCCUCGCUGUGUUACUUGAUCUACAAUGUUCAAGGCUAUACAAGCAGUUUCCACAGCAAGUCUGGUCAGAGGGGGUAAACGGUGUUGGGUCCACUCUAAAUUGGGCCAGUUCGUCCUGCACUUCUGUUGUGGUUGGAUCGAGGAUUUGGUUAGUAGCAUAUUCACCAGUUUGUUCUGUUUAUAAAAACUCCCUUUGAUUCAUAAUAAUUGCUAUUAGUUCAAUUAUUAUGGAUCCGAGAGAGUACAAAAAUUGGAAAGUUCCUCGUCAGAGGGGUCAACCGGUCAGCUAAAACUUUGUCGGUUUUAUGAGGACAUUGACUCACGUUUCUGCCAGGUUUGAGGCCCCUUUGGACCCUGUCUGUUUUGGAUAGCGAGUUGGGAACUUAUCGACGUAUACAGGUCUACCACCAAGUUUCACGCAAUCUGGGUCAGUGGUUCAAUGGUUGUUGUAUGAACACUCAAGAGGGACAGAUUGCAUUCACUCCGUUUUAGUUGCAAGUUUUAGUCUUGCCGGUCCUCGCUUUAGUGGUGUUGCUAUUGUUGAUGUGAUGAUCCUUUGGCUUUUUGGUGGCUGUCCUUUUGGCGACCUUGUGUAUAUAUAGAGAGAGACAUGGAAUGAGCUUGGCACUUCACACCUUGACACGUCCCCUCUUACUAGCGCAGGAUUCCUACUAACUCAAACAAUAACCGGAACUUUCAAGCGGGAACACUAAUGUGCCUGAAUAAGAAUUGACACUUGCUCGUGAAAAUUGCCACCAUGAAAUUCGUUGUCAAUACAUACAAGCAAAAGUCAUGCAAAUAGAAACCGAGUAUUUUUCUUCCAUACAAUCCACGAAUGGAUCAUGUUCCACUACCAGCAAAGAUAGUGGAACAAAAGAGCAACCCAAAAGGACUUUUAGCAUCAGCAAAAGGAAAGUAAAAAGGCUACAAAAGAGUAUGUAGGUUGGUACCGCAUAGAGCUAACGGUAAAAGGGGAACGAAUANNNNNNNNNNNNNNNNNNNNNNNNNNNNNNNNNNNNNNNNNNNNNNNNNNNNNNNNNNNNNNNNNNNNNNNNNNNNNNNNNNNNNNNNNNNNNNNNNNNNNNNNNNNNNNNNNNNNNNNNNNNNNNNNNNNNNNNNNNNNNNNNNNNNNNNNNNNNNNNNNNNNNNNNNNNNNNNNNNNNNNNNNNNNNNNNNNNNNNNNNNNNNNNNNNNNNNNNNNNNNNNNNNNNNNNNNNNNNNNNNNNNNNAAUAUUCCCCCAGUCCAACUGUCAUCAGAAUGACCAGCUUCGAAGCUAGUGUUCUAACAUCACACGACCUUCUUCGUUUUGUAAACAUGCCCAGUAGUGCAUAAACGAGCAUGCAUGAUAAAUUAACUCAGUACAAAAUCGAACUCUUUUUUCUCAAAAUAUGCUCUGUUAAGCAAUUUUCAGAUAUCGCGAAGACAACGUUCCUAGGCUUGGAUCACCAAUUACGUAUGCGGGUGUUACUUAUGAUGGCAAGUGGAUUUUGGAACGACAUGCACAUACUUGGUUUGUAUUCUUCCACUAUUCUCCUGUGAAAUGCAUUUGGAAUAUUACUUGCAGAUGUUUUGGAGGCAGUAGUAGACCUGGUUGCUUUACUCAAUACUUUUUGGUGGAUCCUCAGUUUCUUGCCCGGUAGCAUAAAGUUGCACAUUGUGGGUUUGGCUGUUGUAUAUAUGAUGGGCUUCUAGUUCAACUCUUAUUCAGGCACAUAAAUCGAACGAUUCCAAGUACUUGCAAAGCACUGGAAGUUGGUGACCCGUGAGAGCCGAUGGCCAUGUGACAAGGCAAGACUCGGAGGAGCUACCGAUUGUCCACACCAAAGCCCAAAGGCAUGUGAGGAUUCAAGGAGCUAGUGCUCCCGGCAUGAGGGGGCGACAUUGCAGGCCGCGCCAUAUGCGCAGGAAGAAGUCCUUCCCUACCCUGCAUGCGUCGGCGAGGACCGUUGGGCGACGGCAUCACGAGGGUGUCCGGGAGAGACCAUAGCUAGCGAGUCAAUGGCAGCUACGUGGAAGGAACAUGAGGUGGGAAGAGAGGAUUGGAGUUGGGGAUAGUGGGGUGGGAGAGGUGCAUGGUGGGUGAUGAUUAGUUUAUGUUGCCGCGUAUGGGGUCGGGGGGCGAAGAGAAAAAAUAUCAUUGCGUGUGACGGACAGAGAAACCGGAGGAGAUGGAAACAGCUGACGAAAAUAAACUGGUGGACGUUUAUUUAUUUAUUAUAAUUUUUAGCUGGAUUUAUUUAUUAUAUUUUUUGAGCUGGAUUUGUUUAUUAGUAUAUUUUUAGGGGAAUUUAUUUAUUAUAUUUUUUUGAGGCAAAUUUAUUUAUUAUAUAAACAGAAGAGAUAACAGGCACAGGGGUAAAUGGGUCGGCCCAAUAGGUGAUCCUAUUGUACAAUAGCACACGGGGUGCACAAAUGCAGGCCCUGAGAAGAUGGGCCACGAACUUAAUCACUCUGGCCCAGCUAGAACGAAAAAUCCAUUAUGAUGAAAAUUAUAAAGGGGAAAUCGUUUUAGAAAGACAGAAAAGAUUAAUUCGGAACACACCCUCGAUGUGCCGCCUUAGACCAACUCGGCCAUCCCAACAAUUGUUAACAAUACUAUAUUGCAUUAAAUAUAUAAUUUAAUUACGACUAUUAGGACAAAUCGAAGCAUAUCCUGUCGGUCGGUCUACACAUUGGAAGCCUGAAAGUUAGUCGUCGGCCAGAGACAAUGUCUACCUCACCCUCACAAUUGGCGAACGCCCCACUAAGCACCAGUUCCUCUCUAAAAGAAACUAGCAGUCCAGUAUGUUUGGCUUUACAUCUAUUUUUGUAUUUUAGUAAAAAGAAAAAGGAACCAAAGAUAUUCUGCCUAACUCGAGAUAGAUGGUUGUAGAAACGCAAACAAAGCCAGAAUUUCUUUCAUCAGGAGGUUUCUGUUUUCAGCAGUCUCGACCAUCUGGCGCCUCCUCUCGGAUCAAACUUCAUGCAAUAACCAGCAGGGUCCUCCCUUGGUAUGGAACCCAAUCAUAAACCAACUCGUGGUUGCGUUCUCGAAUUAAGCUUGAUUUCAUUCCACUUGUGACCUGCUGAAGGAAUGAUCAUAAAUAUUUGCCCAAACCAACGUCUAAGCCUCCUUUUCCUGGUCGCCCAAGUAGCUUUGCUAUGUUAACUGAAACUCUCUGUUCACAUUCUCCAACUUCUACAGCGAAAGCACCAUGCAUCCCUUGAUCAUGUAAAUAGGAGGUUUCGCCCAAGCUUGCGAAGGAACAGUAGCAGCUGCCUUUCAUAAUUCUCAGUGUAGUAGGUGCUACUUACGGGUUACGGGUCGGCAUCGUAGGGAGCACAGCUACCUUGCUGCGACGGAACAAGCAGGAUUGGCUUUCCACGCUUCUUGAACUCAAAGACUGCAGGAAAGAUAGUGCUCGACAAUUGCAGGUUGCCCAUCAGGUCUAGUCGCGUCAAGUUACCUACAAAAUACCCACUGGUUAUUGGCUACUCUCCUUGGUGCAUGCCCAUUAGGUUAGGCCUUGAACAUAGUUAAGGAAAAUACGAAGAAGCAUGCUUCUUACAUGUUGUUUGCUUCAAUGCAUUACAAAUCACUUCCAACGAUUCAGGAGGUAGAAGGUUAGAUCCUGCAUUGACUGAUAUAAGGUUCGGCGCUUGCAGUAUCAGCCUGGAAACGAAGUGCGCAGUACCCAUCCCACCGCGGUUCUUACUGCAACAUGAAAUUUGAAGUGGGUAAGGAAACUUGCACAUCAAGCAUGCAUCAUUGAGACUCGGGCAGAGUUUAUUUCUACCUGAUGUUGAUGUGGGAGAGAUUUACUUUCCUUGGCAAUGCUUCCUCAAGUAUUUGGAAGCCUAUUGGUCCUAGGCCGAUGUCUUCAACAUUUAGCUCCCUUACAUGUGAACCCAGGAAUUUCACUAAUGUAGCUGCCACAGAACUGCAAAUUCAUCUCUGUUCAGAAUGUGACCCAAGCUAAAGAAACAACAGAAACUCUGCUCCGGGAGAAAGGACUUACCUCCCAAGAUGAUUAUCUGCUAUAGACAGCAUAUCAAGUGGUUUAUUAAUCGGUGCGAGGCACUCAAGAAGUUUAGUCACACCAAUACUGGACAAAUCGCAGUUCUCUGCUCUUAAUUUCCGAAUGGGAUUCCCCCUUUGAAGAGCCAAUUCAAAGAAAGGAAUAAGGUAUCUGCAAUGUUUAUGUGUAAUCCUUAGUACUUAUUGAUAGAACACAACAGAGUCCACAAGGAAAAAUUGUCUUGAAGUUGACCACAGGCAUAAAGAACUAUUAUGCACUCAUGAUUGAUGCAAAUCUAGGGAAAACUGAAGACAAACAGACAAACUGAAGACUACCUGAUACCCUCAUCAGUGAUUGGAUUGUCACUUAUAUCUAAACUUCUCAAAUUCGACAUCUUUGCUAGAAUAUUGCAUACAACCUCCAUGUCACCCUCCUGCAAAUUGUUUCCCCUGACAUGACAAGUAUUAUGAUAUAUUUUAAUACACAAGCCAUGCGGAACUUCAAAAGGGAAGUGGUGACAAAGGUUUCUAAUUAUGACGACUUGACGGGUGCUGAAAGAGAACAGGUAAUACCUUAGGUUAAGAACAGUCAAGGAGCUCAAGGAUGUAUUUGACUUCAGUGCUGAUGAGAAACUUGUAGAACCUCUGUCUACAGUAGAACGCCAGCCUGCAAGCUAUAAAAGAGAGAUUAUUUGGGUCCAAAAGACAUAUAUCAAAGAAGAAAAGGUUCUUGUGUGAACCCACGUUGUUUUCUGACAAGUCAAGCGUUUGUAAACCAGAGGAAGAUUCAAGGAGAGUAUGAAUAAUCAUCUUAGCAAAUGAUGGCUGCAUCUUAGCAUCGUUAAAUGACAGCAACUGCAGCGACCUGAACAAUAGUUAUAAGAAUAAAACAGUGUUAAUACGCACCCAAUCUUUUUGGCAACCAGUUUGCUGCAUAUACCAAUCUUAAAUCCCAAACAACCGAAUAGGUUGGAGAUGCAGGCAUGAGAUUGCGAGGACAAAACUUCCUUUGAAUGACAGGAUAAAUAUAUGUGAUUUUUUUCACUUCUACAUGUCGUUACUCGCUUAUCCUUACCUUUCUUUUUUUACAUUCUAGUCUGUUCUACUGCUCUCUGCUUUAAGAUGAAUGAACUGCCGUGUAUUGUCCACAGGUGUGACAUGAUACUCUGAAUAAAAUAAUGCAAACUGUUUUUUCAUGUAAAAUAGGUAAAGUUCAACAUGACUGAAUCUGGCACUGCUUUUCAUUUUCCGGUUGAACCCAGUCAUAUCAGGUUUUUGAACAGGACCUUGAACGGCCAAACUAGCUGUGCCUCCUAUUCCACACAACCCUCAAAAUGGUGUUAAAUCUUCCCAGUGUUAGGAGAGAGUAUUUACUUCAAUAAUGUAUGUGAAGCAUAAACUAACCAAUACAACAUGUGAACAAUAGUAAAUUAUUGCUCUGUUGCAACGCACGGUUGCUCAAGCUUUGGAGGGGCGUAGAUGGGUUUCCGACAUCGAGGGUACUCUUACUGUGCAAGUAUUAAUUGAAUGUAUCUCCAUUUAUGGGACCUGGUAGCUGGUUUUACUCUGCAGCAGUACAGUCCUGAUCAACACAUUUGGAGGUUUACUCGGUCAGGUCAUUAUACAAGCAAAUCAGGAUACGAGCUAUUUUUUUUCCUUGGCUCUAUUAAGUUUGCACCAUGCAAAAGAAUUUGGAAACCCUGGGCUCCCCUACACUGCAUUUUUUUUUGUGGCCUGCCAUUAACAAUCACUGCUGGACUGCGGAUCGGCUCUCUAAGCAUGGACAUCCACACCCGGGUGCCUGCCCCUUGUGUGAUCAAGCUGAAGAGACGAUUCAACACCUGUUUGUCGCAUGUGUCUUUGCUCGGCAAAUCUGGGCACUCAUCCUCCAAAUGAUUGGACUUGCUCUAUCCGGCCGCAAGAUUCGAUCACGCGCCAUUGUGGCAAACCUUUCUAUGAGCUGCUUCUCCAACUGGUGGUACAGAGCUCCAGAGGGUGUUUGCUAAGGAGCGCAGAGAAGGGCAUAAUUCUAAUAUUGGUUGCUUUGUGCAUCUGGAAACACAGGAAUGACUAUGUCUUUAGGUGCACAACCAAGGAUUCCCGUAGUGCUACUUGAAGUUGCCAGUGAGAGUGCCCUUUGGUGCUUGGAUGGGGCUGCUGCACUCCAGGUUUUGCUCCUAAGGUCGCUUACACUGGACAUGUAGUCCGUUUUGUGUGAGUCGGCCACUGUAUCUAAAGUGUCGCAAGCGUUUGCGCGUACCCUGGUCGUGUGUGGGUGUGUUUGGGGUGGAGAUUGGAUUUAUUCCCUAACCCUCCCUUUUGCACUCCUUAAUGAAAUGACACAGCUCUCCUACGCAUUCGAGAAAAAAAAAA
rnacentral:lncRNA from 1 species